GAAAAUCCGUCGAAUUUAAAUCNUGGUUUCAAGUCCCUCUAUCCCCA
rnacentral:tRNA from 1 species